UACGUAGGGUGCAAGCGUUGUCCGGAAUUAUUGGGCGUAAAGAGCUCGUAGGCGGUCUGUCGCGUCUGCUGUGAAAACUCAGGGCUUAACCCUGAGCUUGCAGUGGGUACGGGCAGACUAGAGUGCGGGUAGGGGAGACUGGAAUUCCUGGUGUAGCGGUGAAAUGCGCAGAGUAUCAGGAGGAACGCCCGUGGCGAAAGCGAGGUCCUGGACGCCU
rnacentral:rRNA from 1 species